AUUGAACGCUGGCGGCAGGCCUAACACAUGCAAGUCGAACGAGUGGCGGACGGGUGAGUAAUGUCUGGGAAACUGCCUGAUGGAGGGGGAUAACUACUGGAAACGGUAGCUAAUACCGCAUACCAUCGGAUGUGCCCAGAUGGGAUUAGCUAGUAGGUGGGGUAACGGCUCACCUAGGCGACGAUCCCUAGCUGGUCUGAGAGGAUGACCAGCAAAACGGGAACGGAGACAAGGUCCAGACGCCGAAGGGAGGCAGCAGUGGGGAAGAUUGGACAAGGGGCGCAAGCCUGAGGCAGCCAUGCCGCGGGUAUGAAGAAGGACUUCGGGUUGUAAAGUACUUUCAGAGGGGAGGCGUUACCCGCAGAAGAAGCACCGGCUAAAGCCGUGCCAGCAGCCGCGGUAAUAC
rnacentral:rRNA from 1 species